AAGAGACAGAGCUGACACGAAGAGGGGAAAAAAUUCCCAGAGUUUUUCAUGAGCUUCGCAAAGAAGGAAUCAGCAGAAAAUGGAUUUGUGCCUCAGUUUCUCUUAAGCUGCACUGGAAAUGAAAAUGACAUGCAGCUGAAGCACCACCUGCUGAGAGGUUUUAUAUGGAGGAGAACAGGGUCUUUGGCAUCUCCUUGCUGUCCAGCCAUGGCAACAGAAACUCAUCUAAGACCCAGAAGGAAAGAGGAGGGGAACAGACACCCAGAGAGAAACCAGGCAUAACCCUGGUAACUCAACCAUAACUCAACCCUGUCCACCCACAUGACUCCAAGAUGGAGAACAGACUUCCUCUUCUGGCUCCUCUCUCCCAGAAUUCUCCCAAAGCAAGGGUUCUUAACCUGGAGUCUAUGAAUUUGCAUUUUAAUUGAUUUGGGGAACUAUUUUGGUUUCUUUUGUAAUACUAUAUAUUUUAUUUUAUGCAUUUAAAAACAUUAUUCUGAGAAGAAGUCUGUAGACCUAACCCAGACUGACACAGGGGUCUGUGACCUACAAAAGAUUGAGAAUCCCUGUCCUAAAGCAAAAUCCCAUAAAUCCAGAUUCAAAGCUGGUCACCAAUUGGCAAACUCUGAUGUAGUCUCUACUCACCUCCAUAGCAGCGCUUGGGAUACAGGUGCUACAUCAUGACAAUGAUGAUGCUGGCUGAUAUUAUAGGUUUUUUAUAUAUUUAUAGCUUUUCUGACUUGUUUACAGAUGUUAUCUGGUGCAGCAAAUAACGUUGAACCUGGAGUCAGGAAGACCUGAAUUCAAAUCCAGCCUCAGAUACUUGCCAGCUGAGUGAUCCUGGACAAGUCACUCAAUCUCUGCUUGCCUUAGCUUCCUUUUCUUUAAAAUUAAGAUAAUGAUAGCACCUAUCUACCAGGAUUAUGGUAAGGAUAAAAUGAGAUAAUAUUUUUAAAGUGCUUUGUAAAUCUUAACUAUAUAUGCUAGUUAUUAUUAUUUCACUGGAUCUUCACAAUAAUUCUGUGAAGUUUAGGCACAGCCAAUGUUAUUUAUCUCCAUUUUACUGAUUAGGAAAUGGAGUCACAGACAUUCUGCCAAACAGAUACUGUAGAGGAAAUACUUUGGAGGUGUUUUCGCAAGAGAUCAAAUAAUUGUUGUGGUAAAAGAUGAAAUGACUGAGGAAAGCAGAGGUGCAAACUUCUGAGUGUAUUGAUUUAUUAAAAGAAUGCAUACCAAUUGCCUAACAAAUUGGGACAAAAUUUCUUCAGCUUAGCCCUAGACU
rnacentral:lncRNA from 1 species